UACGAAGGGGGCUAGCGUUGCUCGGAAUCACUGGGCGUAAAGCGCACGUAGGCGGAUUUCUAAGUCAGGGGUGAAAUCCUGGAGCUCAACUCCAGAACUGCCUUUGAUACUGGGAAUCUCGAGUCCGGGAGAGGUGAGUGGAACUGCGAGUGUAGAGGUGAAAUUCGUAGAUAUUCGCAAGAACACCAGUGGCGAAGGCGGCUCACUGGCCCGGUACUGACGCUGAGGCACGAAAGCGUGGGGAGCAAACAGG
rnacentral:rRNA from 1 species